CAGCAAGAAAGCAGAGCAAGAAACCUUCCUAUGAACGAACAAAGGGACAAGCAAGAAAUCUUUUCUGGUUCGAUCAGACAAACCGGUCCGGUUAAGUGGAAGUUGGGUUGGGUCACACGACCUGGAAACAUUCCGGUUAAACCCGGGGUCAAUGAUGAUACAAGCUUAACUUCCGGGUGGAGGUACAGCCCACAGAUAUACCCUCUCCUGAACAUUCAAAUGAGCCGAAAACAAUAGCUCAUAUCCGUGUGGCCGCUUGAAGAUGUAAUAAACGACGUGGACCGUAUCAAAGAUGGAAUGAGAGAUUUUGUCUGUGCUGCUACCUUCAGCUCUCUACUAAACUGAUAUUCAUUUCAUGUUUUUAUUUAACCAUACAUAUGCUUUGAAA